rnacentral:rRNA from 1 species
UAUUGCUCUUGAACGAGGAAUCCCUAGUAAGUACAAGUCACUAGCUUGUGCUGAUUACGUCCCUGCCCUUUGUACACACCGCCCGUCGCUACUACCGAUUGAAUGGCUUAGUGAGGCCUUCGGAUUGAAAUUCGGAGACUGGCAACAGACUCUUGGUUUUGAGUUGGACACUUGGUCAUUUAGAGGAAGUAGUCGUAACAAGGUUUCCGUAGGUGAACCUGCGGAAGGAUCAUUACCGAAGUGAACCUGACCUUUGGUUAUGGUAUCGCGACAUUGUAUUUAAAACCCCACUCAUAUAUAUAUAAUAAAGAUCACUUUCAACAACGGAUCUCUUGGCUCUCGCAUCGAUGAAGAACGUAGCGAAGUGCGAUAAGUAAUGUGAAUUGCAAAUUCCGUGAAUCAUCGAAUCUUUGAACGCAAAUUGCACUCUUUUCGGAGAGUAUGCCUGUUUGAGGGUCAAUAUAAUAAAAAUCGGUAUGUUGCUUUUUUUGUGACGUUCCGGAAUUUGAGUUAUCUUAAUUUUUUAGUUUAAGAGGCUUAAAAUUGACCUUUUUUGCGCAUUUUUAGACGUACAUAAAUUUUUUUUUAUUCGUUUAUUCUAAUGCCAAAAUCUAUUAGAUGCGACCAUAUCAUGUGGUUCCGCGUCUAUAAAUUUUUCAUGAUUUGACCUCAAAUCAGGUAGGAACACCCGCUGAACUUAAGCAUAUCAAUAAGCGGAGGAAAAGAAAAUAACAAUGAUUCCCCUAGUAACUGCGAGUGAAGAGGGACAAGCUCAAUUUUAAUCUAUCGGGUUUUACCUGAUCGAGUUGUAUUUGAAGAUGGCGUUUUCUGUGUUUCUGAUCAGUCCAAGUCCUUUUGGGAUAAGGCAUCAUGGAGGGUGAGAAUCCCGUUCGGUUGAUCAGAUUCGCUUUACGAUACGUUAUCAAGAGUCAAGUUGUUUGGAUUGCAGCUUAAAUGGGAGGUAAAUUUCUCUAGGCUAAUUACCGGCGAGAGACGAUAGCGACCAGUACGUGAGGAGAAUGAAAGACUUUGAAAGAGAAGUAACAGGUACGUGCAUUGGUGCAGGAACGAUUGGCAACAGUCGUACCUUCGGGACUUAAUCCAGCCCUUUCUGCUCGGUAUUGUGGAGCGUGAAGAGUUAAACGCCUUCAUGCUUGCAUAUUCGUGCACUUUGGGUGUACUUGCCCGUAUGGUUGGUUAACAUCAAUUUUGGUGGUCAUAAAAUGACUGGAGGAAUGUAGCUUCGAUCUCGUAUUGAAGUAUUAUAGCCUUCGGUAGAUGUGAUGAUCGAGAUUGAGGAUUGCAACGGAUACCCUUCGGGGCUACCUGUCUGAUCUCUGAUCGUUGCUCUGGUACCGAAAGCUUGCUUACGGUUAUCAAAGUCGAUGGUCAAUAGGUUAGAACGGGUUAAAUUCGUUAAGGAUGUUGACGUAAUGGCUUUAAACGACCCGUCUUGAAACACGGACCAAGGAGUCUAACAUAUAUGCGAGUGUUU